rnacentral:rRNA from 1 species
CAGCCGCCGCGGUAAUACGUAGGUGGCAAGCGUUGUCCGGAAUUAUUGGGCGUAAAGGGCUCGCAGGCGGCUUCUUAAGUCUGAUGUGAAAGCCCCCGGCUCAACCGGGGAGGGUCAUUGGAAACUGGGAAACUUGAGUGCAGAAGAGGAGAGUGGAAUUCCACGUGUAGCGGUGAAAUGCGUAGAGAUGUGGAGGAACACCAGUGGCGAAGGCGACUCUCUGGUCUGUAACUGACGCUGAGGAGCGAAAGCGUGGGGAGCGAACAGGAUUAGAUACCCCUGUAGUCCCUGUCUCUUAUAC